UACGACAAAGGCAAACCCUGAGCGAUCAGGGGGCGCAAAGUAAAGGGUCUUUAAACUUACAAGGACGUGUUGUAAGAUAGCCUUACUGCCGAAG
rnacentral:ncRNA from 1 species